AGUCAUAGAGUCUGUUUUAGGAGUUUUUGUUGUAUUUAUGAAUUUCAAAUUAUAGUUGGACUACAUGCGAGGGGUUCGAUAUUUUGGUGAUGACAUUGAACUUUGUUUUUCUUUAAGAUGUAAUUUUUUAGUUGUUGUGAGUUUUGUCACGAAAUUGCCAAAGGGGGAGAUAGUUAAGUCUUGUGUGUUGGCAAGUUUCGUAGAUUGAGUCGGAGUCUUGAAGGAUCGGUGCGUAAUGUCGAAGAUCAAAGAAUCCA
rnacentral:lncRNA from 1 species